CAGAGGACUUCCAGAAGUGUCCUCCAGUUAGGCUUCAGCUCUGUAAGAAGGAUGCCYACGGAGUGCCGCCCGUUGUCACACUCAGAAUCACAGAAUAGCUUGAAUUGGAAGGGCUCCACAAGGACCAUCAAGUCAAACUCCUGGCCAUGCRUAGGACAGCCCCAUGAAUGACACCAUGUGCCUGAGAGCAUUUUGCAACACUUCUUGAACUCUAUAGGGCUUGGUGCUGUGACCACUUCUCUGGGGAGCCUGUUUCCAGUGCCCAACCACCUUCCAGAUGAACAAUCGUUUUCUAAUAUCCAUCCUAAACCUCCCCUGAGAAAACUUCAUGUAGUUCUGGGUCUUGUCACUGGUCAUCACAGAUGAAAAGAUCAGUGUCUGCCCUUCCACUACUCCUGACAAGGAAGUUGUAGACUGCAAUGAGGUCUCCCCUCAUCCAGGUUGARCAGACCCAUGGGCCUCAGCCACUUCUCAUACAGCUUCCCCCUCAAGGCCCUGUAUUCCAGAUCAGUGUCUGGUCUGUCCACACCAUGAGGACUUUUCGUCCCAUCAUUGUUGGCUUCUUGCCACUUCAUGGAAGUGGGCCAGUCUUGAAAUGAGUGAAAGGCUUGCAACAUGGCUAUGUUCCUUCCCUGGUUCAGCUGCAUAGGGCACAUAAUGUGCAUUUUGAUUCUGUGCUGCCUUUCUUAAUAUGACUUCCUGGCCUUUCCCUAGAUUGCAUCCAUGAUAAUAGGACCAUCUUUCUUAGUUCCCACCUACCUUUGUUUUCCUUUUAAGUUUUCCAUCUACUGUGCUCAUGGCAUUCCUUCAUCUUUUCCCUUUGCCAGUGAAACACAUCCAUCUUCUCCGCUGUCUUACACCACAGCCCCCAUAUGUCUGCCCAAGCCCCACGAUUCUUACAUGUUUAUGUUGUUGAAAUAUCUUCUCAGUUUGUUUCAAAGGCCAUGAUGGCCACUCUAGAGCAACCUAAAAUGCUGGGAAAGGCAGGAGUGAAUCAGUAAGUGUGGAAAGGAGGAAGUGCCAGCCUCAUUCCUGGCACCAUCUCCCUCCCAUGUCAAUUGUAUUAUACAGCCUGUGCUUCACACCCUUACAUGUGUGUGCACCCUUUGUUCCUGGUGCUCUGACUACCUGGUUCACUGCCAACUUUCCUUUAGCCACAUGCAGUUUCAUAAACGGUGCCUCCUGAGAAGAUAACCUGAAUCUAAAAGUCUGAAAGUCCUGUGGGUUGUGAACAUUUUCAGUGGCAGCAAGCAACACCYGCAAAUUGGAUAAGCUGUAAGGGAAACUGGGGGUGAUUUUGACUAAUGGGAGCCAAUGACUUCACUGCUUGUGAAAGCAGGCAAAGAGUCAAUGACGAUGCAAGGAGGUUGCAAGAAGUACACCACAGAUGACAAGAAAUUGAAGAGCGACUUGCAGCUGUCAUGAUACCUACUACCAAACUAUGAAAGCAGUGUCUCUGAGAUAGUUUUGGCAACGAAGUUGUACCUAUCCUGCCAGCAUUUCACACCAACAGUGCACAGUGAGCAGCUUCAUCCAUUUAAGGAAUGYUUUACUUUGCUUGGAUGUGUCUUCACCAAGGCUGGGCAACCCACUACAUGCAACACUAGCUCCUUGCAGGAUGCCUGGUUUGCCACGAUAAGGGACCAGAAAACACAAAGACUUUGGGAUUCCUAUGGCUGGAUGCUAGACAGAAAAUGGUAUUUCUACAUAGAUACUUCUUAUGAACUGAAUUCUUUCAUGUACCCUGCCCUGCUGUCCAGCCUGAAGUAUCCAAAGCAUUGAAGAAUUGCACAAGUGAAAUUGUAGGAAUCAGGAACAUCAGAYGGCUUUGCAUAUUGAGUCCCAUUUGGAGCUUUUGCAAUGGAACACUAGCAUCUCAGUGGACAAGAAUGGACUUGAACUUUUAGCAGAUUUUUUUUUUUUCCACAGGUGGAAACUGUAUUUGGCCUUAGAGGUAUACUGGGCUAAGCACAACUAAAUAUGCUAUUAAGUAUGCAUUGUCAGUUUAAACUUUUAUCAGCAUGUCUCGGUUUGAAAGACAGGUGUCUGCUAAGGUGUCUGCCACAUUCUCUUGGAACAGAGAAUAUCACCUCCCUUUCCUCCGAAUUACAGUAACUUUGAAAUUAGGAGGCUUUUAGGCAAAGAUAUGGAAAACGGAAUAACAGUUCUUUUCUAGUGUGUGUAACAAGGCAAGCAAACAACAAUAACGGCAGCAACAACAAACAAUGCUCAAAGCCAGCGCCAGCCCGCUCCUCCCGUCCCCGCYCUCCCCUGCGCUGCAGUUCCGCUCACGGCCGGCAGGGGCGCGGGGCGGGGGCGGUGAUUCCUCCGCGCCGGCAGGGGGCGCUGUGGCGUGAGGCCAGCUCGCUCUCCCUCACGCGGUGAUGGCGGGCGCGGUGGAUGGCGGAAUGAGCCAUAGCAGGGACCUCAGACCAGCAAGCUGGAACGGCAGGGCUGGCUCACCCGGGGUAGCAGGCAACAAGUCGCAGGAAUUCUGCAGCGGUGGUGGCUGGUCACUGGGUGAGGCUGUGCAGAGGCGGGGCAGCUCUCGGCAGGGGAUGGGGUGCUCCUGCUCCCGGAUUCCAACACGGCAYGCACGGGCUCUGGGCUCCCAAAUAGCAAGGGGGCAGAGAAAACGAGCCACUGUAAACCCAGUCGAAGUGCCGAAGGAAAAAGAAACAGGCAAACCCGAUAUGCAACUGUGUCUCUGCUUAGAGACACCACGCUGCCUGGUUGGCGAAAUCGCCAGAGUGUCUCUAAAAGGCGGAGCUCUCCUUGUCUGCCCUCCAAUUCUCGCAGGAAGCCUUGGGCUGGCUUUCAACUAUCGUGAUAUCCCUGGUACUGGGGUGAGGGCCAAGGGGGUGGCGUGACCCCAUUAAAAAAAAAAAAAAAAUUCAUAAUUUUUAAUUUUUGAAUGCUACGCGCAAAACAAGAAUGGAAGAAACAAAGAUGGCAUGGGUUAAAAAGAACCCCCCAAGACACGGAAAUACUCCUUUUGAGUGCUGGACACAACUAGRAUGUGUAAUGGAAGUGCUAUGCUGCUAUGCUUAUACUUUACUGGCAACCAGCAGUUGUAAAAGCUGUUUUGUUUUUUUCAGAAGUGCAGUGCAGGAGUAAAUGUUGCAUCUGAUUUCCUGAGCAGUGGCAUCCCCAUAUUCACCUGCACAUAUCCUGAGAUCACUGCUGCUCCCAAACCCUCUGUAACAGAUUUUGCAUGAUCCCAGAAUCUUUCUKCAAGUCAGACAGGUGGUGUGAAGAGGUUAAGCCAAUGGGUACUGGUACACAGCCAGAUAAAUGUGUGUAGACACUGCAUGAAAUUCUAGUAUUUUACUGCUCUUCUAUCAGCCAAAGUAUCUGAACUUCAGCAAAAUCAGGAAUUGUCUUAUUUCCUCCAUUUUGUAGUCUACAUUCAGAGGUUAUCCCAGAUCGGUUGUGCACUAUUGAGAGCUUUCAUCCUCUCUGCAGUCAGUUUUUGAUGCUGUUUAAGAUACCAGCUGUUGAUAUAGAGUUUAAGUGUCCCAGCUAACUCCUUCUCUUUGACUUUUCUGGCCAAAYCUUUAUGAAGAAUUGAGCCAAAACAAACACUAGAAAUUCAUCAAAUCAUUCUGUCCUACAAAAAUACUCCAAACUGACCACAUACCCUUGUAAUGGCAUGGUUCCAGAAGGCACACUGUUCUUACAGGACCUAAAGUCAGAGCACACUAGGAAAUUGAAACAGCUUCAAAAAGUUUUCCAAAUUCCAGCUCUGGUCUCUGGUAAAAGAAGACAAGAAAAAAGAAUUUACACUUUCUUAAAAUUAUUUUUUACUGUUCCUUUGGAAGUUAACGCAGAACAWAACAAUAAUCAUCUACUUGAUAACACAAAUGUUGCCGUUUUAACUCCAGUCUGUGUUAAUGAACCAGAAACACAGCGUCCCAAGCACUGUUCCUGCAAGGAGAAGAUAUCAGGGAUGUAUCCUGUGUACUUACAAAGCCUUUUUUUCUGUGAACAGGAGGAAGCAAUUAAAACAUUAUCAGCUCAUCGCCAUAAAUACUGUUCUGCUGCCCAGAUGUGUUUUUCUGUACAUGUUUCUCAGAGCCAUGUUGCAAUACUGGUUCAGGCUAUGAGCUGAGUU